ensembl:lncRNA
GAAUAUAGGUGGUGGGACUGCAGGUGUAUGUUCUGAUGUGCAUUUCAUGGUUUCCGAGGCCCCUUAAGUGAAGUUGAGUUCAUUUUGAAUCUCCGUGGUUAAGCGAGUUAAUAUACUCCUGUUAUUAAAGGGCCUGCAGUCACCUUGUAGCCCGAACCCCUCCUCCCCAUCCCAACGGCUUAGACUUUGUUCCCAUCUAUUUCAUAUCUUUAUCAGCCAUUCAAAUACUACUCUCUCUCUCUCUCUCUCCCGUCCACAAUCUCGCCACUCGGUAGAAUGGCUUUCUUUCUAGUCGCCGAGGUCCCUCACUCAUUGUGUUCGCUACCUGAGUCAGCAGGGAGGAUGAAAAGGGGGAGAGUUUGCCGGAGGAAGGACGGGAGGGAAGGGGUAGUUCGGCGUGCAGGGAGGGAGGACAGGGGCGAUGAUAGGCCGGCGGGGCCCUGGAAGGAGUUGAGUGAAUUUACCUGCUUCUCCGGUGGCGGGUCGUGCGCGUGUGAUGGUGUGCGAGAAGUUAACGAGAGAGCGGGAAACUACUUUAUUGCUGUUUAUCCCUGCAGCGAAAGCUGUCAGGUGACAGAUCGGCAGCAGCUCUAAUCAGUGCUCCCUUGCUUUCCCAACCGAGAUCCCCUCUCAAUUCGCUUCUGAUCUUCCACAAAUGCUUUGUUUCUAAUGCCAUUUAUUCCGUGAAACAUGUGCAUUUUUUUUUUUACUAUUCUAACAGUUGAGAUAGUCAUUCAAAGUUUGCGAUUGUAUCCAACGAGUUAAAUUGAGAAAUAGGAUUUGAAUUAAAACAUAUAAUGGAUUGACAAUGGCAGAUGCAAAAUGUUAUGUUCUUUAGAAACACAUUAUCCAGUCUGAAUAAAAUCAUAUUAAUAAUACAACGCACCAAAUUAAAACGGAAAUAAGUAUAUUAGGCAGAAUCUGUAUCGAAUUAAAUCAAAUUUCAGCCAACUGUGGUGAAAAAGAAAGUAAGUCAAUACUGACAUUGUGUUUUAUGUCAAAAUUACUCAUGUACGUUUUAAUCUUUGUAUUUAGUGGAUACAAAUACAUACACAAAAUAAUAGAUAAAAUAUUCUUCUUUGAUCUUAUCAAGCAUGUGAUGCUACCGUGUAACUUUUACUCAAUCUAUCUGUCUAACUUUAUUUCAUGUAUAUUAAUAGCAUUUAAAUUCCAGCUGUAUAAAUGAACCAAACAUGCUUUAUCCUAAACGUUACACCUUCAUUCACCUGCAUUGAUUAUAAAACGAUGUGCUGGGGGGGCAUGCUUAGAAACACAUGGCUGAUUACUGUCAUAUCUGGCAUAAAAACCAGUGUAGAAAAAAAAAUCAUAUUUCGAAAAGCAAGAUAACCCGCCUCAGCUGGCCGAGCGUCACGCAGAGCCGCAGAAUAACGGUGGAACUAAAGCUGUAUUUCACCGCGAGCCUUUGGAUUGGUGCUUAUCUCGCCAACACAGCGCUGCUGACCUGUAGGCUGCAGCAUCAGAGGUGUGUGUUUGUGUUGAGGUGUUGACCUGUCAGGGGGGACUUGUUAGGAAUUUAACUCCAACUGCGGUCUCCAGACAUCUGGGGGGGUGGCAUCGAUUUGAAACUUGUCCUGUCUAAUUUGAUGAUAACAUACAGCCUGCCCCGCCGCAGCACCAUGGACAGCGCACUGUCUUGACCUUGCCUUGCUAUCAAAUUACCCCCCGUCUGGGCCACGGUGGGAGCUCAGCUCCGACUUCGCUAUCGGAUAAGAGGGGGGGGGGCAGAGAAAAAGACUUCUGCUUAUUUUACAGGAGACAAAUCUCCUCUCAAACCAGUGCUUCAACUCUGUAAUACAAGAGGAGUUUGGCGGUUUACAUUGGCUGUUGACCCAACCGCCUUUGUAAACAAUGCAUUGUCACGCUUCAACAAAUGCUUCAUUUUAUUUGUGUUAUCCUUACAGGACCUGCGUGUUCUUACACCCAGAAGUUCACCUAAUUCCAUUUAAGUGGAUUUCAAAGUGGCCCCGUCUGGUGACAUAGACGCGGAUGAUCUGCCCUUUAAAAGACUUUUGAAGUUGAAGUGCAAAAACAAACACAUUCCUAAAGGAAAAGUUCAGUAUUAAAAUGUCCCAUAAGUAAACGACAUUAUUUACACCCCAUCUAAGUGAAUGAGGUAUGGCUGAUGCAAAAAUGCAGAAUUUGUUAACUUCAACUGUCAGGGAAAUGAAGUAAAAGUGUAUUUUUUCUAAAAACUUAAGAGACCACUCAGAACGUACUUUGUCGGUUAAAGGUGUGUCUUACAUGUGUUAAGAAGAGAGACGUAAUCCCCGCACUUCAACAGAUUAUAAGAAGUCACGUCACUGUCUACUUCAGAGAAAAGCAACAGUUAUGCGCCAUCAGGCUGCAAGUCAAACCCAACGGAAUAGUACGUGGACAAAUAGAUGCAAGACAAAAGGAGAAAACUAUUCAUAUUUUUCAAAUUAUCUCAUAGUAGUUCAGAUGCUGUACAUGUUGUGGUAACAAGUUGAUUUGGGACCCAGAAUGUCUAUAGUUUAAAAAAGAGCCCGAGGCACUAACGAGAGGGGGGAUUUACUGAUGGAGAAAGAGAGGGAGAGAGAGGCUGUUUGAUGGAGCUCUGCAGCUUUGAGACAGCUUGUUAAUUAAAACCCCAAGAGACGAGGCUCUGCAGCCACCGUCCAUAUCAGAGCACUGCUAACUACACUGACAGCAAGUUACUUAACAAGCGAGCGCCUCAAUCCUCUACCGUUUUAUCACAGGAAAGCAGUGAGAUAUUCUAAUUCGUUAAAAUCCCACUGUGGCGGUGAAAUAUCUUGUUUUCUACUUAAGAAAUUAUGACAAACCUUCGUAUUCUCUGGCAUUCCGUGGAUGGAGCCCAAAUGGCAGCUUAAGCCACGAAAUCCGCACACCAGCUUAAAUGUGGCAAAUUCGAUUAAGGACGGAAAUAAAGAUAUGUCAAAAAAUGAGUGAAUUAGUCUAGACGUACAGGUUGGAUGGUAUUAAAUGUUUAGCUUUAUAUUCGGGCACUUCGGAUGAUUUCCCCAAAUCAAUCAGGCCCAUUGUCUGCGAUUUCAGACAAUGGGCCUUGGUGCAGAUACAAAAAAAAGUCAAAACAAAGCGGCUACCGUGGUUUUAUUUUGGUGAAGGCGAUUUAUGAUACAUUUCAAUCGAGGUUAUAUUGUCCCAACGCAUUAUUCCGCCUUAAUUGCACCUGCAACCUGCCCUUUGCCUGCAGGAUAUCUGGGCAAUUUCCAUCCCAUAUGCAGGUGUGAGACGAUGGCUUGUUUAGUCGAGAAAUACAGAGAGAUCCUCACUCAAACACUCAACAUGUACGACAGGCUCAUGCCCAUUGUUCGGGGGGAAAAAAAUAAUUAAAAUGCUGCUUCCCUCUAUCCCUCUGUCACUAAUAAUGUGUUGCCAACUUGUGUAAAUAUCAGUAAAAGAAGACGUGGAUUGGGAGGGAAUGAGGUGAAGCGUGACACAGUCCCCGUAUCCAGUAGAAGAGAACCUGUUGUCCCACCCGGGUUUUAACAGUGUGACUGUGUGUUUUGGGGGGGGGGGGGGGGCGAAUGGGUAAUACAGCUCAAUCAACAAUGAAACCUUGCCUGUGGCUUUCUUAAGGUCCCAGCAAGAUUCCAAUCCCGAAAGUCUCUUAUCAAAAGUUUAUUGUCCACGUGUCUCUUGGAGCCCUCCUCUCCUCAUCAUCUAUCCUCCUCAUCAUCUAUCCUCCUCAUCAUCUAUCCACCAACAGUUUGAGCACUUUGGUUGAUUACACAGCACACUCGAAAAAAGAACCAAGUUAAAUCCCGAUAUAAUAUUUCAUUUGGCUCAACAUUUUACUAUUUUAGUUCCCGUUCGUAGUUCGGAUGUCUUCAUGUGAGGAUUAAAUGCAGCCAGAGGGAAAAGCCGAAACCAACAUUAACAGCCCACUUGUUUAUCUUCGGCCACAUCCGAGGAAAUCCAUUCUCUGGAUCUGUCACGCGAUCUGUUGUCGAAUUAAAAGAGGACUUGGGGACACUUUUGGCAAUCGGUUAUCAUAAUAACGCAAAGCAACUCCCGACUUGAACCAAAAUGUAUUUUCCCAAAAAAGUGAAACCAACCGUUUCUUUCAACAAUUUGAACUCACGCUGAUUAUUGUUUCACUCGCAUCAACCGAGAAAGCUCCCAAUUAAAACACGACAAAACAUUUACAGGACGUUCUCAUCCUUCUAGAAGGGACUUUCUAAAGGUGUGUGAAGUGCGUGUUUCUUUGUCGUUGACUGCCGUAUAAUACUCCUGCACGUGAUCCCGUCGUGGCUCCUUUGGGGGAACUGCGCGUUUUAAGGCGGCUGUAAAAGUCUCCGAGUCUCAAACACAUUCACCGACGUCAGACGCCGACAAGCCGCUAUUUAGUGAAGGUGUAACUGCAGUAAGUCACUAACAGUGCAAUAUACCUAUUAUUCCUUUGGUGGCAAGCAAUCUAAAAUAGAUUAGAAACUCGGACAUUGGAUUUAUAAUAAUUAAUAAAACAUUGCAUGAUUCUCAAAUUCUGUUGUUUUCAUACUUUUAAACACGAAUAAUGUAUUGUGUGUUUUAAUAAACUUUAUGU